GCAGCCGUGACUAACUGGUUACGGUGUUCGCUUUGUAAGCGAAUGAUCCUGGGUUCGAUUCCCAUCUGCUCCA
rnacentral:tRNA from 2 species